ensembl:lncRNA high mobility group nucleosome-binding domain-containing protein 3-like
CAAUGAGCGAAUCCUACUAUCAGUAUGGCUUGGCUCGUGAAUAUUAAUCAAGGUAAGUGACUGGACGCUCACGGAAGGUUGCCAGGUCGUGUCAUCAAUGUUCAUUAAUAUUCAUAAGAUUGGGGCUUCGCCAUAGUGGGAGUCGAAAAUUCGCUGUCAGGUGGGCCUGUGAUGAAUUGAAUAGGGAAGAAGGAGGUGGAGGAGGAUCCAAUCCGGUUUGAGCAGGUUUUUGUUUCGGACGAGCGUUAACGUGUUCCUAUACUGUGCUCAAACCUACUGUGUGAAUCUUUAACCGAGCUCAGCACACAGUGUCGACUGUUUUUCAGCGUUAAAUCCGUGCAUCUUGCAUUUUUAACCGCUUUGAUUUUUGCGUGUUGUACAAACCCACAGCCAUGCCUAAAAGGAGCAAAGCGAACAAUGAUACUGAAGUCACUGAGCCUAAAAGAAGGUCGGAGAGGUUGGUAAACAAACCUGCACCCACAAAGGCAGCGCCUAAGCCAAAGAAGGUGACUGCCAAGCCUAAGAAAACAAAGGAGCCCAAGGAGGAGGAGAAGAAAGAGGAGGUGCCCGCAGAAAACGGAGAAACAAAAGCUGACGGAGAGGCAUCGGCAACAGAAGACGCCGACAAGAAGGGAGAAGACGGGGAAUAACUUUGCUGAGGUCUCAUCUUUUACCAGCACUCCCUGUACCUCUUUUCUUGUACAAUUCAGGGGAAUAUUUUUAUCUACUCUUUUCUAAAGGCAGGUUUUUUAGUAGUUUGAUUGUAGAGACACAUUUUUUAUGGAAGAAAAGAAACAUUUUGAAAGUGAUCUCAUCAUAUCCAGCGUUUUUACAUUGGGCAGAAAAAACUACCGUCAUCGUAAAUGUCGACAGGCUCUCUGCUCUCGCUUUCAAAGUGCGAGGUAGAGGGGAAGGUUGCAGGCAUGUCGUUUACACAGACAGCUGGACAUCUUACCGAGCUUGUCUGAAUGACUAACAUUCCAUUGGCUCUAUGAGGGAUUUUGCUUUUUUUGUGUGUGUGUGUGUAACCUGUAAUGUGUGUUUGGGGAGGGAGGGAGGGAGGGGUGGGCAAAUAACUCAUUGUUUAUAAGGCGAAAGAUUACUUGUAGAACGUUUGUAAGCUGUGUUCCAUAUGUUAACUGCAGUUCUCCAUAAUCAUUUCUGCUAAAUAAACAUAUUCUCUAGUACUGGAGUUCAUGUCAGGCCUGUGAUUCGUGUGUAUUGAUUUUGUCUCUUCUGUGAUAGUACCACAAUAAAUUUGUAAAACUGCUGUGAAAAAGAUUUUUGGGGCUUUAAGUCCAGUUUGUGUUAUGGUACCAGUGGCAGACGUGGGAUGAAUAUCUCCACAAAGCCAGCGAUUCUUUAAUAUCCAAACGCAUUAUUAAAAUGGAAAAUUUGAGACGAAUGAGUGAUUACGUGUAAAAACUCUUUAGUUGUAAAGCGUUCUGACCAGCAGUAGCAGUAUUUCUGUGGGACUUAGAUAUCAAGUAUAAAUGUACAGUUUCUUUUGAUCAUUGUUUAUAGAUGUAUCUCUGUGUGUUAUGGUACAAGACAAUAAAAAAAUCAGUUGUGAUACCCUGUUCUCCCUUUGAUUUUGAAGUUACAUUCAUUACUGUAGGUGUAAUUAUACU